rnacentral:rRNA from 1 species
CCUACGGGAGGCAGCAGUGGGGAAUAUUGGGCAAUGGAGGAAACUCUGACCCAGCGACGCCGCGUGCGGGAUGAAGGCCUUCGGGUUGUAAACCGCUUUCAGUAGGGAAGAAGCGAAAGUGACGGUACCUACAAAAGAAGAACCGGCUAACUAUGUGCCAGCAGCCGCGGUAAUACAUAGGGUGCAAGCGUUGUCCGGAAUUAUUGGGCGUAAAGAGCUCGUAGGUCGUUUGUUACGUCGGAUGUGAAAACCUGAGGCUCAACCUCAGGCCUGCAUUCGAUACGGGCAAACUAGAGUUUGGUAGGGAGACUGGAAUUCCUGGUGUAGCGGUGGAAUGCGCAGAUAUCAGGAGGAACACCAAUGGCGAAGGCAGGUCUCUGGGCCAAUACUGACACUGAGGAGCGAAAGUCUGGGGAGCGAACAGGAUUAGAUACCCUGGUAGUCCAGACCGUAAACGGUGGCACUAGUUGUGGGAACCUUCCACGGUUUCUGCGACGCAGCUACGACAUUAAGUACGUCCCGCCGUCGGGUAGGUACGACGUCGACGAAGAAUUAAACUAACUAAAGUAGUAAGUUAGUACGGACGUGAGACGUCGACCGACGGACGACGACGAGGGAGGUAGG